rnacentral:lncRNA from 1 species
GCUUUGACGCCACCAACCCCCCUCUCCUCUUCAGCCUCGGGUGCCUCCCGUACCUCCCCUACCUUGGGCUCCGCCUCACCCAUUGUGAAAGUGGGUGUCCGCGAGGCUCAAAGCAAAAGAAAAAAAUGAACAUGCCAUCGAAGAAAAAAAAACAGAGAGAAAGGAAAGCACCUAAGGGAGGAGCGCGGACAGAAGGGUGUGGGCGGUCGUUGGUGCUUGCAUAGAGUUGUGGAUGCUC